GAGUUUGAUCCUGGCUCAGAUUGAACGCUGGCGGCAUGCCUUACACACGCAAGUCGAACGGUAACAGGUCUUCGGACGCUGACGAGUGGCGAACGGGUGAGUAAUACAUCGGAACGUGCCCAGUCGUGGGGAUAACUACUCGAAAGAGUAGCUAAUACCGCAUACGAUCUGAGGAUGAAAGCGGGGGACCUUCGGGCCUCGCGCGAUUGGAGCGGCCGAUGGCAGAUUAGGUAGUUGGUGGGAUAAAAGCUUACCAAGCCGACGAUCUGUAGCUGGUCUGAGAGGACGACCAGCCACACUGGGACUGAGACACGGCCCAGACUCCUACGGGAGGCAGCAGUGGGGAAUUUUGGACAAUGGGCGAAAGCCUGAUCCAGCAAUGCCGCGUGCAGGAUGAAGGCCUUCGGUUGUAAC
rnacentral:rRNA from 1 species